AAGCAAGUCAACGAAUUGGCGCCCCAUCUCCUAUUCCCAUACAGAUUCUCCGAACGCGUUUGGGCGGACGUGGCUUCAUGGAUCAGCCUCAACAAUGGCAUCACAACGGCUUGGCGGCACGAGAUAUCAGUCAAGGAAUGGUGGUUCAAGAAUGUCCUAGAUAGAGGGCGCUCGGGGAAGGCCCUGUCAUCCUUGCUCUUACUCAUCUUUUGGGAACUUUGGAACGAGCGGAAUGCAAGAAUUUUUAAAAACAAAGCUGCCACGGCGACAAUUGUUUCAAAUAAGAUCAAAGAGGAGGCCCGUCUUUGGGCGUUUUGA
rnacentral:rRNA from 1 species